rnacentral:rRNA from 1 species
UACGAAGGGGGGCUAGCGUUGCUCGGAAUCACUGGGCGUAAAGCGCACGUAGGCGGAUUGCUAAGUCAGGGGUGAAAUCCUGGAGCUCAACUCCAGAACUGCCUUUGAUACUGGCAACCUUGAGUCCGGGAGAGGUGAGUGGAACUGCGAGUGUAGAGGUGAAAUUCGUAGAUAUCAGGAAGAACACCCGUGGCGAAAGCGGCUCUCUGGAACGGUACUGACGCUGAGACGCGAAAGCGUGGGGAGCGAACAGG